AGGAUUUUAGUUAAAUUUAUAACAAUUAUAUUGCAUAUAAUUAUUAAAGUUUUAUACUUUAAAUCUUA
rnacentral:tRNA from 1 species